GAAAGGCCAAUCAAACCGGGAGAUAGCUGGUUCUCCCCGAAAUCUAUUUAGGUAGAGCCUUGAGCGGACACCUUCGGGGGUAGAGCACUGUUUCGGCUAGGGGUCCAUCCCGGAUUACCAACCCGAUGCAAACUGCGAAUACCGAAGAGUGAUACUCAGGAGACACACGGUGGGUGCUAACGUCCAUCGUGGAGAGGGAAACAACCCAGACCGCCAGCUAAGGUCCCAAAGUCUAUAUUAAGUGGGAAACGAAGUGGGAAGGCUUAGACAGCUAGGAUGUUGGCUUAGAAGCAGCCAUCAUUUAAAGAAAGCGUAAUAGCUCACUAGUCGAGUCGGCCUGCGCGGAAGAUGUAACGGGGCUAAAAUAUAGCACCGAAGCUGCGGCAUCAGUCGAAAGACUGUUGGGUAGGGGAGCGUUCUGUAAGCGGAAGAAGGUGAAUCGAGAGGUUUGCUGGACGUAUCAGAAGUGCGAAUGCUGACAUAAGUAACGAUAAAACGAGUGAAAAACUCGUUCGCCGGAAGACCAAGGGUUCCUGUCCAACGUUAAUCGGGGCAGGGUGAGUCGGCCCCUAAGGCGAGGCUGAAAAGCGUAGUCGAUGGGAAACGGGUUAAUAUUCCCGUACUUGGUGUAAUUGCGAUGUGGGGACGGAGAAGGUUAGGUUAUCAGGGUGUUGGAAAUCCCUGUUUAAGCCGGUAGGUGUGAAGACUAGGCAAAUCCGGUCUUCUUUAACGCCGAGAAGUGAUGACGAGGCUCUACGGAGCUGAAGUAACCGAUACCACGCUUCCAGGAAAAGCCACUAAGCUUCAGGUUACACUAAACCGUACUAUAAACCGACACAGGUGGUCAGGUAGAGAAUACUCAGGCGCUUGAGAGAACUCGGGUGAAGGAACUAGGCAAAAUAGCACCGUAACUUCGGGAGAAGGUGCGCCGGCGUAGAUUGUAGUGUCUUGCACACGAAGGUUGAACCGGUCGAAGAUACCAGCUGGCUGCAACUGUUUAUUAAAAACACAGCACUCUGCAAACACGAAAGUGGACGUAUAGGGUGUGAUGCCUGCCCGGUGCUGGAAGGUUAAUUGAUGGUGUUAUCGAAAGAGAAGCUCCUGAUCGAAGCCCCAGUAAACGGCGGCCGUAACUAUAACGGUCCUAAGGUAGCGAAAUUCCUUGUCGGGUAAGUUCCGACCUGCACGAAUGGCAUAAUGAUGGCCAGGCUGUCUCCACCCGAGACUCAGUGAAAUUGAAAUCGCCGUGAAGAUGCGGUGUACCCGCGGCUAGACGGAAAGACCCCGUGAACCUUUACUAUAGCUUGACACUGAACAUUGAAUUUUGAUGUGUAGGAUAGGUGGGAGCCUUUGAAGCAUGAACGCUAGUUUGUGUGGAGGCGUCCUUGAAAUACCACCCUUUAACGUUUGAUGUUCUAACGAGGCGCCCUAAUCGGGUGUUCGGACAGUGUCUGGUGGGUAGUUUGACUGGGGCGGUCUCCUCCCAAAGAGUAACGGAGGAGCACGAAGGUUUGCUAAUCACGGUCGGACAUCGUGAGGUUAGUGCAAUGGUAUAAGCAAGCUUAACUGCGAGACAGACAAGUCGAGCAGGUGCGAAAGCAGGUCAUAGUGAUCCGGUGGUUCUGAAUGGAAGGGCCAUCGCUCAACGGAUAAAAGGUACUCCGGGGAUAACAGGCUGAUACCGCCCAAGAGUUCAUAUCGACGGCGGUGUUUGGCACCUCGAUGUCGGCUCAUCACAUCCUGGGGCUGAAGUAGGUCCCAAGGGUAUGGCUGUUCGCCAUUUAAAGUGGUACGCGAGCUGGGUUUAGAACGUCGUGAGACAGUUCGGUCCCUAUCUGCCGUGGGCGUUGGAGAAUUGAGAGGGGCUGCUCCUAGUACGAGAGGACCGGAGUGGACGCACCCCUGGUGUUCCGGUUGUGUCGCCAGACGCAUUGCCGGGUAGCUAAGUGCGGAAGAGAUAAGUGCUGAAAGCAUCUAAGCACGAAACUUGCCUUGAGAUGAGUUCUCCCCGACUAUAAGUUGGUAAGGGUUGUUUAAGACUAAGACGUAGAUAGGUAGGGUGUGUAAGCGGUGUGAGCCGUUGAGCUAACCUAUACUAAUUGCCCGAGAGGCUUAACUAU
rnacentral:rRNA from 1 species